rnacentral:rRNA from 1 species
UACGGAGGGUGCAAGCGUUAUCCGGAUUCACUGGGUUUAAAGGGUGCGUAGGCGGGCAGGUAAGUCAGUGGUGAAAUCUCCGAGCUUAACUCGGAAACUGCCGUUGAUACUAUUUGUCUUGAAUAUUGUGGAGGUAAGCGGAAUAUGUCAUGUAGCGGUGAAAUGCUUAGAUAUGACAUAGAACACCAAUUGCGAAGGCAGCUUACUACACAAUGAUUGACGCUGAGGCACGAAAGCGUGGGGAGCAAACAGG